ACCAUCCUCCAGCUGUCUGCUUUGGUAAAGGAGCCUCUGCUGGUCCGCCGGAACCCCCUCUCUUUGCUGGACCUUGGUCUUGAAGUUCCUCACAGUCUCAUUGGGUCUGACAUCAUAGGUGCUCUUCUUACCCUGUAGGUUGCUGAGGAACACCUGGAUGGUCUCCGGCUGCUGGGUGACCAGCAGAGACACCAUGGAUCCAGACUGUAGACCGUAGUAGCAGAGAGGCUUUGAGUCGUCGUUGAGUUGAGUCGUCUGGCCGUUCACAAAGACCAGCUUCUGCCUCUGAGGGGAAACUCCAAGUUUCUCGUGGAUGAGUCUUUUCAGAGAGCUCACUGUGUCCUGUGGGUUCACCGUCAGGGUGUGGAACCUCCCAUCCAGCAUUUUAAUGGUUAUAUCCAUCAUGAAAGUGGCCUGAAAGAC